rnacentral:rRNA from 1 species
UACGAAGGGGGCUAGCGUUGCUCGGAUUGACUGGGCGUAAAGGGCGCGUAGGCGGUUCGUACAGUCAGACGUGAAAUUCCUGGGCUCAACCUGGGGGCUGCGUUUGAUACGUGCGGACUUGAGUGCGGAAGAGGGUCGUGAAAUUCCCAGUGUAGAGGUGAAAUUCGUAGAUAUUGGGAAGAACACCCGUGGCGAAGGCGGUUCUCUGGGACGGUACUGACGCUGAGACGCGAAAGCGUGGGGAGCGAACAGG